rnacentral:rRNA from 1 species
AACGAACGCUGGCGGCAUGCCUAACACAUGCAAGUCGAACGAGACCUUCGGGUCUAGUGGCGCACGGGUGCGUAACGCGUGGGAAUCUGCCCUUGGGUUCGGAAUAACAGUUAGAAAUGACUGCUAAUACCGGAUAAUGUCUUCGGACCAAAGAUUUAUCGCCCAGGGAUGAGCCCGCGUAGGAUUAGCUAGUUGGUGAGGUAAAGGCUCACCCAAGGCGACGAUCAGUAGCUGGUUUGAGAGAACGACCAGCCACACUGGAACUGAGACACGGUCCAGACUCCUACGGGAGGCAGCAGUGGGAAUUUUGGACAAUGGGGGCAACCCUGAUCCAGCAAUGCCGCGUGAGUGAAGAAGGCCUUCGGUUGGUAAAAGCGUCUUUUGUUCUAGGGAAGAAACGGU